UCUCCCUCCCCACAGGCUUCUGUGGAUGGUGGUGAUGGUGGUUCUAUCUGAUUUUUUUUUCCUGCCAUUUAGCCCCGAUAUUCAUUUCUGUAAAAAGCAGUUCUCUUUUUCAUAUUGACUCCGGCUAUAGCACUGAGCCCCAAUGGCUACUUCUACCAUGUCCAUGAUGAAAGUGGGAGCAGCAGGCUAUCGCAUCAACUCUAUUAUACUGGGAUGGAGCCACCCAGAAGGCCGUGGGGGGCGUGUGUGACCCACCUGUUUGGUACGAUCAGUGCGUCCUGCCUGCUGUGAUCUACGUCAUCAACUAAUCGCCGCAGCUCCAACUGCACUGCUUGUUAUCUACAUAUGGCGCUGAUCAAGUGCUUAUUGCCUUUUAUAUUUGCAUUUGUAAAUUAUUGAAGAUUUGAGCGGAAAGUUUCUGUUUCUGUGAGGUUCGUUCCAGAGUCGUCCAGGUGGUUGUUGAGCGGAGGAAGAACAGAAGAGGCUAAACAGCUGAUCGUACAGACGCACUGUUCCUGACUCACAUCUCACAUCUCCGUUCUUCAUUAUCCACGUGCUUGGGCGGUCAUUUUAUGCUGCUGAAAAAUUGCUGUGAAUGAUGCUGGGAACAAAGGAGGCAUUCAAGUUAUUUUAAGAUUAACUGUAUUGACUAAAUUUCUCUUCAUCACAAUGUUGGCAUGGUGGCGAGUUGGGAGGUAACUGGAAAAUAAGAGGUUUUCACUGACUCUGAAGUACUGCCUGUACUUCAAUAUGGGAAACCUCGGCUUGAAUAUCUUCAUCACCCAGUUGCCAUUUGGUGCCUUUGGAAUACCAGCUCAUUUACUAUGUGUGUGGCUGCUGGAGGUUUUGGGCAGAAAAAUAUUACUUGUAGCAACACUUCUGACAGGAGGACUCUCUUGCAUUCUUGUCUUGGCUGUUCCACAAGGAAAUUCCUUUGCUGUUACGUCCUUGGCCGU